rnacentral:rRNA from 1 species
UACGUAGGUGGCAAGCGUUGUCCGGAAUUAUUGGGCGUAAAGAGCUCGUAGGCGGUCUGUCGCGUCUGCUGUGAAAACUCGGGGCUUAACCCCGGGCCUGCAGUGGGUACGGGCAGACUAGAGUGCGGUAGGGGAGACUGGAAUUCCUGGUGUAGCGGUGAAAUGCGCAGAUAUCAGGAGGAACACCGGUGGCGAAGGCGGGUCUCUGGGCCGAUACUGACGCUGAGGAGCGAAAGCGUGGGGAGCGAACAGG